rnacentral:rRNA from 1 species
UACGUAGGGUGCGAGCGUUAAUCGGAAUUACUGGGCGUAAAGCGUGCGCAGGCGGUUUUGUAAGACAGGCGUGAAAUCCCCGGGCUUAACCUGGGAACUGCGCUUGUGACUGCAAGGCUAGAGUACGGCAGAGGGGGGUGGAAUUCCACGUGUAGCAGUGAAAUGCGUAGAGAUGUGGAGGAACACCAAUGGCGAAGGCAGCCCCCUGGGUCGAUACUGACGCUCAUGCACGAAAGCGUGGGUAGCAAACAGGAUUAGAUACCCUGGUAGUCCACGCCCUAAACUAUGUCAACUAGGUGUUGGGUGGGUAAAACCAUUUAGUACCGUAGCUAACGCGUGAAGUUGACCGCCUGGGGAGUACGGCCGCAAGGUUAAAACUCAAAGGAAUUGACGGGGACCCGCACAAGCGGUGGAUGAUGUGGAUUAAUUGGAGUCAACGCCGGA